rnacentral:tRNA from 1 species
UAGAAAGUGGUGUAGUGGAGGCACUAAGAGUUUUGAUCUCUUCAGAUGGGGUUCGAUUCCCCUCUUUCUAG